CACCGCCCCGCCACUCCUGCCCAGUACUGGACAGCUGGGUGAGGCCACCUCCAAUGUUCCAGUCCAGCUGUCAUCUGCCUGCAGCCGCAUGAGACCCCACAUGACACUCUGCCCUUCCCGGGCUGCCGCUCAUGCCACGGCGCAGCCCCUGGGCACCCAGCCCUCACCCCUGGAGUCGGCCCCACUCAGCAUCAUACCUGCCUCAGCCCCAAUCCCCAAUCCCCCUGGGGAGCCUUGGUCUCACAGCGGCAAAUGACGGUGACGGUGGUUUAGUCAACAGUCCGAGCGCAGCCGCAGGACCGACCUCCCGCUGCCGGAGAUGGCCACUCUGGAGAGCCAGGCUUCUUUCAGAGCCAGGAGCUGACCCGCGACCCUGGCGUCCCCUGAGAAGGUGCGCGUCGGGCUCUGGAAGCUUCAGCCUCUCGAACUGUCUCUGGCAAAUCCGUUGAGACCUGCAGCGCCCGGCUGUCAGCCCUUCAACGUCGCCCCCAAACCCACAGCUGCCCCCGAUGUGGGAGGGCUGGGUGUCCCAGGACAGAGCCGCCUCGCAGUGGGCCCUUGCCGCCCCGGGACCAUCCUGCCGCCCCAAGAAGAGCUGGAAAGAGCAGAGCUGGCCUUCGCCCUCACGCCUGCCAUCCCCGGACACGGCCCAGCAGGGCGACCCUGCGCCGGCCACACACCUCUCUCCCCGGAGAGGCCCGGUCCUGGUUUCUUAGAGCAUCGAACAUGGAGAGAUCGCCCAUGUCCACAAAGACCACUGCGGUAUUUAUCAACUCAACUAAAAAGCAAAUGACACUCACCAUAUGGCUCGUCUAAGACCAGUUUCUAAACAAAUACCCUGAAUAAAAUGAAAACCAGCCAUUGUUUCAGAACAAAGGUAUAAUCAAAUUCUAAUUUUCUAUUCCAAUAAACAUCUUUGAAUUAA